rnacentral:rRNA from 1 species
AUUGAACGCUGGCGGCAUGCUUUACACAUGCAAGUCGAACGGUAACAGGCCGCAAGGUGCUGACGAGUGGCGAACGGGUGAGUAAUGCAUCGGAACGUGCCCAGUCGUGGGGGAUAACGCAGCGAAAGCUGCGCUAAUACCGCAUGCGAUCUAUGGAUGAAAGCGGGGGACCGUAAGGCCUCACGCGAUUGGAGCGGCCGAUGUCAGAUUAGGUAGUUGGUGGGGUAAAGGCUCACCAAGCCAACGAUCUGUAGCUGGUCUGAGAGGACGACCAGCAAAACUGGGACGGAGACACGGCCCAGACGCCUACGGGAGGCAGCAGUGGGGAAUUUUGGACAAUGGGCGCAAGCCUGAUCCAGCAAUGCCGCGUGCAGGAAGAAGGCCUUCGGGUUGUAAACUGCUUUUGUACGGAACGAAACGGUCCUGGUUAAUACCUGGGACUAAUGACGGUACCGUAAGAAUAAGCACCGGCUAACUACGUGCCAGCCGCCGCCGUAAAAC